GAUGAAGAACGCAGUGAAAUGCGAUAAGUAAUGUGAAUUGCAGAAUUCAGUGAAUCAUCGAAUCUUUGAACGCACAUUGCGCCCGCCAGUAUUCUGGCGGGCAUGCCUGUUCGAGCGUCAUUACAACCCUCAAGCUCUGUCUUGCGCUUGGUGUUGGGGAUCGGCCCUGCCCGCCAGCCCGGGCGGGCCGCCCCCGAAAUGAAUCGGCGGUCUCGUCGCAGCCUCCUCUGCGUAGUAAUUCAGUUAUCCUCGCACUUGGAGCGCGGCGCGGCCACUGCCCGUAAAACGCCCAACUUCUCAAGGGUUGACCUCGAAUCAGGUAGGAAUACCCGCUGAACUUAAGCAUAUCAAAAGCGGAGGA
rnacentral:misc_RNA from 1 species